AUACAUAGGUUGCAAGCGUUAUCCGAAAUUACUGGGCGUAAAACGUUCGUAGGUGGUUUUUUAAGUUUGAGGUUAAAUACUGAAGCUCAACUUCAGUCUGCUUUGAAAACUGAAAGACUAGUGUUAUAGAGAGGUUAGUAGAACUCCAUGUGAAGUGGUGGAAUACGUAGAUAUAUGGAAGAAUACCAGUUGCGAAGGCGACUAACUGGCUAUAUACAGACACUGAGGAACGAAAGCGUGGGGAGCAAAUAGGAUUAGAAACCCUAGUAGUCC
rnacentral:rRNA from 1 species